AAAUUGAAGAGUUUGAUCAUGGCUCAGAUUGAACGCUGGCGGCAGGCCUAACACAUGCAAGUCGAGCGGAAACGAGUUAUCAGAACCUUCGGGGGACGAUAACGGCGUCGAGCGGCGGACGGGUGAGUAAUGCCUAGGAAAUUGCCCUGAUGUGGGGGAUAACCAUUGGAAACGAUGGCUAAUACCGCAUGAUGCCUACGGGCCAAAGAGGGGGACCUUCGGGCCUCUCGCGUCAGGAUAUGCCU
rnacentral:rRNA from 1 species